rnacentral:SRP_RNA from 1 species
GGCUGUCAUGGUCCCAAACUUAGAAGAUCUGAUUCAAACCAUUCCACAUCCCCUUUGUUCUAUUUAUUAAAUAAGAAAAACCGGCAAUGGUGCCUCAUUCGAAACUGGGGGUUGUCUUUUAUUCACUGUACUCGUAUUGGUAACAUACGAUCGCUACAAGGCAUUAAGCAAUGGAAGUCAUCGCUCGAGGAAAGUAAUUUCGCAGAGUAUCUUCCACCCUGAGUUGGCGAGAUGAGAUUACAUCGUGUCCUUGGGUUUUAUGAGGUUUGGAUUCGGGGUGGUUGUAUUUGGGGUCAGAUCAACUUUUUUUU